rnacentral:piRNA from 1 species
UAUGACAUGUCAAUCACCUGUCUCCUUUAU